AUGUCGUUCCACCGCGGCAGCAGCUCCGGCACCGGCGGCGACGACGGACCGAGCGCGUGGCCGUCGAGCCUGAGCACGCCGGAGACAGAGGAGCUGUACCGGUUUGGGCUCCUCGUGCCGCCGGGUUGCCGUCUUCCGCACAACUGGAAACUCGACAAGGACGGCUACCCGAGGCGCGGGCCCGGCGCCACCGCGGAGGAGAAGCGGACCGGCGGCCGCAACAACAUCGCCGGCCGUCACGCGUUCUGGGACGGCAAAGAGUACGCCGCCGUCAUCGGCGCGUACCGGCUGGCGGAGUCCGGCGUCACGCCAGACCUCAUCGGCGACCACCGCCGCCUUCUUGUCCCGCGCCCCCGUCCAGAAGCGCGCGGCCGUCGGGCCCCUCCACCACAUGCGCCGGCGCCUGCCGAUCCCCCCGCCCCGCCGGAGGUGGAACUGCCGCCGGAGCAGGUGGUUCUUCGGGAGGACGGCGAUCCCGACGAUACGCCGGGUUACCUCGUCGCCCCGCGGGCGUCGGUGGCUGCAACGGCGGCUGCAGAUGCGGCGGCGGCUGCGAGGGAGGCCGCCGAGCAGGCAGCAGCGAUCCAGGCGGCGGCGGCGAUUCCGCCGGUGGUUCCGCAGGCGGAGGCGGAGGCGUCGGAGUCGUCGGACGAAGACGUCAUCAACUGGGAGCGGUUAGCCCAGGUCAGCGACGAUGACGACGACGACGGCGGUGACGGCGCGGCGGAGUUCGUCGAUCUCGCGGCUAGCGACGACGAGUAG
rnacentral:rRNA from 1 species